rnacentral:rRNA from 1 species
UUGAACGCUGGCGGCAGGCCUAACACAUGCAAGUCGAGCGGUUGAGAGUAGCUUGCUACUUGAUGCAGCGGCGGACGGGUGAGUAACGCGUGGGAAUCUGCCCAGUAGUGGGGGACAACAGCCGGAAACGGCUGCUAAUACCGCAUACGCCCUACGGGGGAAAGGGGGGGAUCUUCGGACCUCUCGCUAUUGGAUGAGCCCGCGUCGGAUUAGCUAGUUGGUAGGGUAAAGGCCUACCAAGGCUACGAUCCGUAACUGGUCUGAGAGGAUGAUCAGCCACACUGGAACUGAGACACGGUCCAGACUCCUACGGGAGGCAGCAGUGGGGAAUAUUGGACAAUGGGGGAAACCCUGAUCCAGCCAUGCCGCGUGUGUGAAGAAGGCCUUAGGGUUGUAAAGCACUUUCAGUGGGGAGAAAGGUUUGUCACCUAAUACGUGAUGAAAUUGAUGUUACCCACAGAAGAAGCACCGGCUAACUCCGUGCCAGCCGCCGCGGUAAAAC